AUGGCAUAGACAGCAGGACAAGCUGCUGCUGCUUCAUCUCUUAUCUCCUGCAAGGGCGGCGACUUCCUCAACAAUGGAGGCAGCAGGGAAGGCUGCUGCUGCUUCAUCGAAGGCAGGCGCUCCUGGGGAUCCCACAUCGAAGGUAGGCGCGCUGGGGGAUCCCGCUGAGGUGAACUCGUGGUGGAGGGGUGUGGCCCUAUGGGUGUCUUUUUUUUAUCUCGCAUUCAUGAUCUCUUUCCCUCUCAUUACUCCUCUAUAUUCUCCUCGGAUAUAUCUCCGUUUUGAUUAUUACCUUUACCUCUCUCUGUGAUUCUGUUCAUCUGAUUGUUGUGUUUCAGCCAUGUCAUAGAGCAUCACUUUCAAACUAUUAUGAUCUUGCAGAAAAGUUUUAAUCUCUAUCUUAAUUUAGGAAUAGCAAAUCUAGAGAUAAUUAAUUCAUUUUUUUGUGUUUUAGUUAACCUUAUAUAUGACAUGAAACUUACCAAAUACACUCAAAAGGAGUGGUAAGAGGAAGGAGUUGGUAAAGAAAUAUUAUAUAUUGAGAGGUGCUUCAUCAUCUUUGGAGGCGUUUAUUAAAGGCUUCAGUUUGAGCAUCCAACAUCACCUACACAAGAUAGACUGGCAAGUUUCAAUAAGUGCAAAAGAUGAACUAAUCGAAGCAACACUAUGCUUUAGCUAAAAAGCCCAGGACGACAUUGUGGGAAGCUGCUGCAAACUGAGACUAAUUAUUGCAGAGGUAAAUAAUCCUUAUGACAGGGCGGUUCAUGUCCUGCAAGGAUUGCUGGAGGAAGAUCAUCCCUGAUGGAAAUCUACAACUGCA